AGUCGUAACAAGGUCUCCGUUGGUGAACCAGCGGAGGGAUCAUUAUAGAGUUAUAACAACUCCCAACCCAUGUGAACGUACCAUAUGUUGCUUCGGCAGGUCGCGGCCCACCCUACCCGGGCGCCGCGGUUCAGCCUGCCGGUGGCCUACGAAACUCUGUUUAAUAUUGAAACUCUGAAUCAUAACUAAAUAAGUUAAAACUUUCAACAACGGAUCUCUUGGUUCUGGCAUCGAUGAAGAACGCAGCGAAAUGCGAUAAGUAAUGUGAAUUGCAGAAUUCAGUGAAUCAUCGAAUCUUUGAACGCACAUUGCGCCCAUUAGUAUUCUAGUGGGCAUGCCUGUUCGAGCGUCAUUUCAACCCUUAAGCCCCUGUUGCUUAGUGUUGGGAGCCUACGGUCUGCGUAGCUCCCCAAAGUUAGUGGCAGAGUCGGUGCAAACUCUAGGCGUAGUAAUUCUUAUCUCGUCUUUGCAGUCUGCCCGGCCCUCGCCGUAAAACCCCCAAAUCUAUCAAGGUUGACCUCGGAUCAGGUAGGAAUACCCGCUGAACUUAAGCAUAUCAAUAAGCGGAGGAAAAGAAACCAACAGGGAUUGCCCUAGUAACGGCGAGUGAAGCGGCAACAGCUCAAAUUUGAAAUCUGGCCUUCGGGUCCGAGUUGUAAUUUGUAGAGGAUGCUUUUGGCGCGGUGCCUUCCGAGUUCCCUGGAACGGGACGCCUUAGAGGGUGAGAGCCCCGUACGGUUGGACACCAAGCCUCUGUAAAGCUCCUUCGACGAGUCGAGUAGUUUGGGAAUGCUGCUCUAAAUGGGAGGUAAAUUUCUUCUAAAGCUAAAUAUUGGCCAGAGACCGAUAGCGCACAAGUAGAGUGAUCGAAAGAUGAAAAGCACUUUGAAAAGAGGGUUAAAUAGCACGUGAAAUUGUUGAAAGGGAAGCGUUUGCGACCAGACCUUUUCCUGGCGGAUCAUCCGGUGUUCUCACCGGUGCACUUCGCCAGGUCGAGGCCAGCAUCGGUUUCUGUAGGGGGAUAAAAGCCUGGGGAAUGUAGCUCCCUCGGGAGUGUUAUAGCCCCUUGCAUAAUACCCUUACGGGGACCGAGGACCGCGCUACGGCAAGGAUGCUGGCAUAAUGGUCGUCAACGACC
rnacentral:rRNA from 1 species